rnacentral:rRNA from 1 species
AGUCUAGGCGGUCAGGUAAGUGGGAUGUGAAAGCUCUCGGCUCACCCGAGAAUGUGCAUCUCAAACUGCCUGGCUUGAGUAUGGGAGAGGAUGAGGGAAUUCCUGGUGUAGCGGUGAAAUGCGUAGAUAUCAGGAGGAACACCGGUGGCGAAGGCGCUCAUCUGGCCCAAUACUGACGCUGAAGUUCGAAAGCUAGGGGAGCAAACG